GGCCGGAGGACGGGGUGGGGCGGGCGAGGGGGCGCGCGCUGGGGUUGGCGCCGAAGAUCGGACCCUCGGCGGCGAGGGCCGGCAGUCGUACUUCUUUGCCACCCACUCGAUCAAAAUGCCCAUUAUGGAAGUCCAAUGUCACCCCCCCAAAAAGCUGGGCAAAGAGGAAAAGAAAUGCAGAUUUCCUGAACCGGAGACCCAAGGCUCCAGGGCAUCUUCUUCUAAAUAGCUCUGUUAGGUCCUGUUCUGUCAGAUGCUCGUGAAUAAAGCACGCUGGGAAAAUCCUGAUAUCCGUGCAGUAGUCUUAUUUUAUCCUUUACACAGUGGUUGAUUCACAUUUCAA